CAGGGAGACAACAAAAUGUUUAAUAUCUUUAUUUUGUCACCUUAGGUCGAUCGGUAUCUCACAUUCUUAAUUGAUUAAGGAUUUCAUUUCCUAAGUUUUUCUAGGUCACACCCAUUAUUUUCCUGGGCCAUUAGCUCAGGUGGUUAGAGCGCACCCCUGAUAAGGGUGAGGUCCCUGGUUCAAGUCCAGGAUGGCCCAUAUCUCUAUGUUGGGGGUAUAGCUCAGUUGGUAGAGCGCCUGCUUUGCAAGCAGGAUGUCAGCGGUUCGAGUCCGCUUACCUCCACUGAUUACCACCUCUUCCAUAAACUGAAGAAAGGAAAAUUAUUGAGUUGUGAUCAAAUUCUGAACGAAUCUAGCUUCCUAAUGAAAUCAUCAAUAUGAAACAUUAAGAUGCUGGACUCAAUGGAUUAAUUUCAUUGUUUUCAGAGAACCUUGACAACUGCAUAGAUUAUUUUAAAGACAAUUAGCAUCUUUAAUGAUGCAGAUUUAUUAUUUGUGCGAAAGCAUUAAUAACAAUUCUUUAAGCUGAUGCUUCAA
rnacentral:tRNA from 1 species